CCCUAAAGUUUAAAUUCAAUAAAAGACAAAGUAGAAUCCGUACUGUACGUAUUAAAACAUUUUUUCACAGUGUUAACAUCUGCCUACAUAAUUAAACACGAAAACACUGAAAAUCAUCUAACCCUUCAAGAGAAAGUUGAACAAAACUGCAUAAUGAGGAGCUUUAUGAUUUCUACCAAAUAUCAUUACUUUAAAAUUAUUUUUAUAUACACGCAGGAAAAGUAAAUUGCUUGGAUUGGUCAGCUCAAGUAGUCAAAGGCCAACAAUAUAUCGAUAUUAAACUACAAAAUAAGCCAAGCUUUAACACACCAUAGGAAACAACACAGGAGUUUACCAAAAUUCAGAGGUCCUUGCUGCCUCCAUCAUCAGGGUAAGUAAUACCCCCUCUCACUGCUAUAAUACUGGAGGCAACAAGGACAUCUGAAACGCGAGUAAACAUCCACCAGACACACGGCGCUCCAAUCCGGAAGACAGCCGUCAUCACAUACUCAUUUCCGUGAGAAGUUCCUACUGAGAUUGGCUGAGACGUUCAUGAAGGAAAAUAUUUGGAGCUAAGAAAAUUAUGGUAACAGCAGUACGGAGAAAAUUUGUGCAGCUACACAGUUUUAAAAUAACAUGAGCCUGCAUCUUUCACUCGCACUACAAGCAAUGGCAGUUUCGGAUAACUGUCAACAGAUGUCUGUGAUGGGAUGGACUUGAUGAUAUCUGAGAAUCGAGUUCAAAUCUGGAACACUGCCAUAAACAUGUCGGUUUCUUACGAAACAAAACAUACGGCACUAUAAAUUCUUAUCUGUGAUUACAUAAACAGUAUUUAUACAAUCAAUGCAUAAUCAGUGGAAUAUAAUUUCCGGUUAUCUAUUAGGUUGAACGGAAAGUUUUUUUGCGUUUUCUAACCAAACAAAACCAUAAAUUCAGAAGUUUAAUGUCAACAAUUGGACCGAGUAAACUAAUGCCGUAAAGAAAAACGUCUACAUCUCGUCAACAGAAAAGAAAUUCUUUCACCUUUACAACGCCCGUCCCCAUGUCAGUUCAGUGACACAGCAAAAAUAAAGGAACUGAAUUGGGAAAUUUAUGACCACCCGUUACAUUCAGUGGACUAAUCUGUGUAUUUUUUUAUAGUCUUAAUACCAUAAAUACGGAUGCUAUUAUACAACUGCACGUUGAAGCUACAAGCUGCAGGGAGCCACAGAAAAUAGAAGCGUCACCAACGAAGACAUUUUAAGCACCAGUUCACUGCACUGAAAUGAUAUUCAUACAC